GUAGUCUCGCACAGAUGCAUAUCAAUAAGCGGAGGAAAAGAAACUAACAAGGAUUCCCUUAGUAACGGCGAGUGAAGCGGGAAGAGCUCAAAUUUGAAAUCUUCAAGGUUUUACCUUGACGAAUUGUAGUUUAAAGAAGUGUUUUCUGUUGAAGUUUUGGUAAAAGUUCUUUGGAAUAGGACAUCAUAGAGGGUGAGAAUCCCGUAUUUGACCAUUAUUUUCAGCUGUGUGAUACACUUUCAAAGAGUCGGAUUGUUUGGGAAUGCAGUCCAAAAUGGGUGGUAAAUUUCAUCUAAAGCUAAAUAUUGGCGAGAGACCGAUAGCGAACAAGUACCGUGAGGGAAAGAUGAAAAGAACUUUGAAAGAGAGUUAAACAGUACGUGAAAUUGUCAAAAGGGAAGCGUUUGACACCAGUGUUGUUUUCUCGAAAAUCAAUUAAAAAGAGUUAGAUUUUGUUGUGUAUUGACCUUAACAGCUUGCAUUUCAAUUUUCUUGCUUUUUUUAAUGCACUUUUCGUUUAACAAGUCAACAUCAGUUUCUUUUGUUGUAAAAAGGUCAUUGGAAGGUGGCUUUCUUUUCGGAGAGAGUGUUUAUAGCCUUUGACUCCUGCAAUCGGAGAGACUGAGGUCUGCAGCGUAGAUCCUUCGGGGUUAGAUACAUUUGUGCUAAGUUAUAGCUUUUUAUAGACAACUUGUUGACUAUGAUUAGUCUUGUAGCUUACUCGCUUAUGCUAUUUUACCUACGCUUAGGAUGUUGAGCGCAUGUCUCUCUCU
rnacentral:rRNA from 1 species